rnacentral:rRNA from 1 species
UACGUAGGGUGCGAGCGUUGUCCGGAAUUAUUGGGCGUAAAGAGCUCGUAGGCGGUUUGUUGCGUCUAUCGUGAAAACCUGCGGCUUAACUGUGGGCUUGCGGUGGAUACGGGCAGACUUGAGUUCGGUAGGGGAGACUGGGAAUUCCUGGUGUAGCGGUGAAAUGCGCAGAGAUCGGGAAGAACAUCGGUGGCGAAAGCGCUCUACUGGGCCAUAAC